GUCUAGAAUGUGCAGGAACGUGUGCUACAGAAACACUGAAGAGACAAACGCAGAACUGUUAGUAGCAGCUCUGCAGAGGAGCCUUUUCCAGUCAUUUAUCCAAAGAAUUGAUCUGACUUUGAGUGGUCUUGUGUGGAGCCAGGGACAGAACUCGGUGUUCCUUCUGGUUCCCUUCCAACUCAGGAUAUUCAGUGACCCUAGAAUGAAUGGUACUGGAUCACUCUUCAAAGUUGAAGGUGUGAGGUUGAAGCACUUUCAGUGGAGCUAACACCAUGAGUGGAGAAAGACAUUGCAGGAUGCUUCAAGCAAGGGAGGAAUCUGAACAGUGGCAAUAUAGACUGGCCCCUAUCCAUUCAGCCCUCACGUACAGAAAAUACCAAAUUCUGCCAAGAUGUACAGGGUAUUUUGCUUCAUGUGUGAAGAGAAGAGCGCUGCCUGGAGGAUUCUCAUGUCAGUGCCAGUAAAAGCAGAAGCCAGAGAAGCUUGCUUGACCACACUGCCCAGCUGUAAUGAAUGAAUGGAUAACAUCUGAUUGUUAAACAGGGCCACAUUUCCAAAUGGAUCUCCAAGGGCAUGAUGGAGUAGCCAGCAUGGAUUUCCUGCAAUUACUAGACUAUGCUCUACAGAGCAUAAGUGGUUCCUGAAAUACAUAUCCAUUCAAGAUGUGGAUUCUGGGUAUUGUUUUCAGACUAUUCAUAUGUUCACAAGACCAACUUGGAGCCCCUAAGUAGAUUCUGCACUCAUCAAAUUAAAUUUAAGCUUCAAGAGCUAUUUGCUCAGGAUUCUUGUAUCUACCUUCACAUUGGACCAAACCCUGCUUUUGAGAUGCACGCGCUGAAACAUGGAUAUGAAAUAUCUGCAAACUGGGGGGAAGAAAAUUAAAUAAAGCACUUAAAAGAUGUACCAUAUGACCUGUUCUUUACAUCUGGCACAUCUCACACUUCACAGUUGAGAGGACGUGGAAAGACUAAAACUCUUCAUUGCCUCGGUGCAAAGCAUGGACAACUGCAGCCUGAACCACCACAGGCACUACUAGAGAAGGUCUAAGCUCAGAAGAAAACAACCUGUGUGCUGGUGAUGUACAUCUCUGUAUAAGCACCUUCGGAAGAAGUCUAUUUGUGAUUUGAGGACAGACUGCCAUUUUAAACUAAGUUAUGCCGAAGAUCUAACACCAUAGUCCACAAUAUGAAGCUUCUGAAAUGUGGAGGAUGUGACAGCAGAAGAUCUCUGAUCC
ensembl:lncRNA